rnacentral:rRNA from 1 species
GACGAACGCUGGCGGCGCGCUUAACACAUGCAAGUCGAACGGAAAGGCCUGCUUUCCCUUGUGGAUUGCGGGUACUCGAGUGGCGAACGGGUGAGUAACACGUGAGUGAUCUGCCCCCAACUUGGGUAUAAGCCUGGGAAACUGGGUCUAAUUCCCGAUAGGACUGCAGGGUGGUGCCUGUGGUGGAAAACGAUUUUCUAGUGGUUGGGGAUGAGCUCGCGGCCUAUCAGCUUGUUGGGGGGGUAAUGGCCUACCAAGGCGGCGACGGGUAGCCGGCCUGGGAGGGUGGACGGCCACAUUGGGACUGGGAUCCGGCCCAGACUCCUACGGGAGGUAGCAGUGGGGAAGAUUGCACCAUGGGCGGAAGCCUGAUGCAGCGACUCCGCGUGGGGGAUGACGGCCUUCGGGUUGUAAGCUCCUUUCGACCGCGAGGAAGCCACCUGGUUGGAAGGGUGGUGACGGUAGUGGUAGAAGAAGCACCGGCUAACUACGUG